GGAGUCCGUCCACGGAAGCCACCGGAGAGCGUGUGUCUGCCCCCGCCGAGGAGUCCCAGGACAACCGCCGCCGCCGCCGCCCGCGGGUCGAUGCGACCCCCCCAACCGGGCCCCAGGCGCGCACACAGGCGCUGUCCGAGGCCUGGCGAGUGAAGACGGAGUGAAGACGGAGUGAAGACGCCGCUAUGCCGGGCCGGCGCGACGAGUGACUUGUCACUCAAGUCUCUCCUCUCCGGGGCUGUGAGGGCCUCGUCGACAUGCGGCGCUGCCCGCCAUCGUUCAACAUGGCGACAUUCUGCGACCUAGAUACGCCGUGUGGCGAGGCCACCCCAGGCCAGCGGAGGAAGACACCACGUGAACGACCAUUCCUGCCAGCAUCGCCCUCUGUCGCAGUAUCACCAACUGCACAACACCAACUGUACCUCGGCAUCCUACCUACAUAGGCUAUAUGGCAUUGCUCCUCGACACGUCGUCUGAUAUCCACAACAGAAACAGUUUUCAUGGGGGAUGGUAACUGUGCGAGACUUAAUAUUAAAAAAAAAUAUAUAUGGACAAAA